rnacentral:rRNA from 1 species
AGAGUUUGAUCCUGGCUCAGGAUGAACGCUGGCGGCGUGCCUAAUACAUGCAAGUCGAGCGAACAGAUAAGGAGCUUGCUCCUUUGACGUUAGCGGCGGACGGGUGAGUAACACGUGGGUAACCUACCUAUAAGACUGGAAUAACUCCGGGAAACCGGGGCUAAUGCCGGAUAAUAUUUAGAACCGCAUGGUUCUAAAGUGAAAGAUGGUUUUACUAUCACUUAUAGAUGGACCCGCGCCGUAUUAGCUAGUUGGUGGGGUAAUGGCUUACCAAGGCAACGAUACGUAGCCGACCUGAGAGGGUGAUCGGCCACACUGGAACUGAGACACGGUCCAGACUCCUACGGGAGGCAGCAGUAGGGAAUCUUCCGCAAUGGGCGAAAGCCUGACGGAGCAACGCCGCGUGAGUGAUGAAGGUCUUCGGAUCGUAAAACUCUGUUAUUAGGGAAGAACAAAUGUGUAAGUAACUGUGCACGUCCUGACGGUACCUAAUCAGAAAGCCACGGCUAACUACGUG